rnacentral:rRNA from 1 species
CGGGUGAGUAACACGUGGAUAACCUACCUAUAAGACUGGGAUAACUUCGGGAAACCGGAGCUAAUACCGGAUAAUAUUUUGAACCGCAUGGUUCAAAAGUGAAAGACGGUCUUGCUGUCACUUAUAGAUGGAUCCGCGCUGCAUUAGCUAGUUGGUAAGGUAACGGCUUACCAAGGCAACGAUGCAUAGCCGACCUGAGAGGGUGAUCGGCCACACUGGAACUGAGACACGGUCCAGACUCCUACGGGAGGCAGCAGUAGGGAAUCUUCCGCAAUGGGCGAAAGCCUGACGGAGCAACGCCGCGUGAGUGAUGAAGGUCUUCGGAUCGUAAAACUCUGUUAUUAGGGAAGAACAUAUGUGUAAGUAACUGUGCACAUCUUGACGGUACCUAAUCAGAAAGCCACGGCUAACUACGUGCCAGCAGCCGCGGUAAUACGUAGGUGGCAAGCGUUAUCCGGAAUUAUUGGGCGUAAAGCGCGCGUAGGCGGUUUUUUAAGUCUGAUGUGAAAGCCCACGGCUCAACCGUGGAGGGUCAUUGGAAACUGGAAAACUUGAGUGCAGAAGAGGAAAGUGGAAUUCCAUGUGUAGCGGUGAAAUGCGCAGAGAUAUGGAGGAACACCAGUGGCGAAGGCGACUUUCUGGUCUGUAACUGACGCUGAUGUGCGAAAGCGUGGGGAUCAAACAGG